rnacentral:rRNA from 1 species
AUUGAACGCUGGCGGCAUGCCUUACACAUGCAAGUCGAACGGUAACAGGUUAAGCUGACGAGUGGCGAACGGGUGAGUAAUAUAUCGGAACGUGCCCAGUCGUGGGGGAUAACGUAGCGAAAGCUACGCUAAUACCGCAUACGAUCUACGGAUGAAAGCGGGGGAUCGCAAGACCUCGCGCGAUUGGAGCGGCCGAUAUCAGAUUAGGUUGUUGGUGAGGUAAAAGCUCACCAAGCCUGCGAUCUGUAGCUGGUCUGAGAGGACGACCAGCCACGCUGGGACUGAGACACGGCCCAGACUCCUACGGGAGGCAGCAGUGGGGAAUUUUGGACAAUGGGCGCAAGCCCGAUCCAGCCAUGCCGCGUGCGGGAAGAAGGCCUUCGUGUUGUAAACCGCUUUUGUCAGGGAAGAAAUCCUUUGGGUUAAUACCUCGGGGGGAUGACGGUACCUGAAGAAUAAGCACCGGCUAACUACGUGCCAGCAGCCGCCGUAA